rnacentral:rRNA from 1 species
UACGGGGGGGGCAAGCGUUGUUCGGAAUUACUGGGCGUAAAGGGCUCGUAGGCGGCCAACUAAGUCAGACGUGAAAUCCCUCGGCUUAACCGGGGAACUGCCUUUGAUACUGCAAGUCUUGAGUCCGGAAGAGGUGAGUGGAAUUCCUGGUGUAGCGGUGAAAUGCGCAGAUAUCAGGAAGAACACCCGUGGCGAAGGCGGCUCUCUGGGACGGUACUGACGCUGAGACGCGAAAGCGUGGGGAGCGAACAGG